rnacentral:lncRNA from 1 species
AGGUAACUCUACCAUGGAGAAACCUGCCAGACACCAUGUGAACCAAGAUCGGAGUUAACAUCCCCGGUUAACAGGGACAAAUCAACACCGCAUAGCUCUCAACACGGUGCUCUGAGAAGGCCUGGCAUCCCUGUUGGUACUACGGUGUUCUGCUAAAAAUGCUGAACUUGAAUUUGAUCAUGAGAAACAUGAGACACACUCAACUGCGGGACAUUCUACAAAAUAACUGCUUUUACUCUUCAAAAUAAGCAAGACCAAGAAAGACAAAGGAAAAACUGAAGAUCGUUCCAGCUUCAGGCAGACUAAGGAGACAUGACAAGUAAAUGGAACGUGUCAUCCUGGAUUGGAUUCUGGACCAGGAAAAGAACAUUAGUGGGACAGUUGGCAAAAUCUUAAUGAGCAAACGGAGUCUUGGUUGGAUUAAGUAGCUUGCCCAAGUCCCAGGGCUAGUCCAUGGCAGAGUCAAGAUUUGGUUACAGGUAGGUUCACUCCAGUGCCUGCAUGCUUCGACACUUUGUAACAAAUAUUUAUUGAGUGUCUAUUAGGUGCUAACUGCUUUUCACAUAAUGCUUUAUUUAACUCUCACUGUAACCUUUUGCAGUAGGUAUUUCCAUUCUGGUUUUAUGGAUGGGGACAUGGCUGCUCAAAGAGAUUAAAGGAUGGACCUAUAACAUCCUAUGGCUAAGAAAUAGCA